UACGUAGGGGGCAAGCGUUGUCCGGAAUCAUUGGGCGUAAAGAGCGCGUAGGCGGCCCUGUAAGUCCGCUGUGAAAGUCAAGGGCUCAACCCUUGAAUGCCGGUGGAUACUGCAGGCUAGAGUCCGGAAGAGGCGAGUGGAAUCCUGGUGUAGCGGUGAAAUGCGCAGAUAUCAGGAGGAACACCGAUGGCGAAGGCAGCUCGCUGGGACGGUACUGACGCUGAGGCGCGAAGCGUGGG
rnacentral:rRNA from 1 species